rnacentral:rRNA from 1 species
GAUAAUAGGCUGAUCUUUCCCCAAGAGCUUACAUCGACAGGAAGGUUUGGCACUUCGAUGUCGGCUCUUCGCCACUUGGGGUGUAGUAUGUUACAAUGGUUGGGUGAUUAGGUCUUUUUUUAAUUUGAUUCAAUUGUCAAAUAACAC